GUGGCAAGUGACUGAGGAGUGCUUGCACUAUGGAAGUGCUGUUUGCAGAGAUGGUGCUCUUUAUAGGAAGAUAGGAAAGAGGAUCAGUGAACAUGCUGAAAAAUUUGGUUAUGGUGUUGUUGAUCGUUUUGUUGGACAUGGUAUUGGGACAGUAUUUCACUCAGAACCACUCAUAUUUCAUCACCCCAGGUGAUGUUCCAUGAACUGUUGCAAGUCCUUUCUUGAGUUUGGAUGCUAGUGAAGAUUUUUCAUCAAUAAAAGCAAGAUUAACCAACAGUUUUCGUAGUGAUUUCAAGUUCCUUUUAAUCGUAAUGGUUGGGGUGAAUAACAUAUUUCAAUAUAGCUUGUAAAACGAAUAGUACACUUAAUGAUAUAUUUUUGUGUUUGAAAUAUGUUUUAUUUCUUAAUACUAAUAUGUCCUUUUAGGUUUGGACUAUGAUGUACAUGUUAAGUA